rnacentral:rRNA from 1 species
AGUGGCGGACGGGUGAGUAACGCGUGGGCAACCUGCCCUGUACAGGGGGAUAACACCGGGAAACCGGUGCUAAAACCGCAUAAAGCCGGUAAUGCGCAUGCAUAAUCGGUGAAAACUGAGGUGGUACAGGAUGGGCCCGCGUCCCAUUAGCUAGUUGGUGAGAUAACAGCCCACCAAGGCGACGAUGGGUAGCCGACCUGAGAGGGUGACCGGCCACACUGGGACUGAGACACGGCCCAGACUCCUACGGGAGGCAGCAGUGGGGAAUAUUGCGCAAUGGACGGAAGUCUGACGCAGCGACGCCGCGUGAGCGACGAAGGCCUUCGGGUCGUAAAGCUCUGUUCUUGGGGACGAAAAAGAUGACGGUACCCAAGGAGCAAGCCCCGGCUAACUACGUGCCAGCAGCCGCGGUAAUAC